ensembl:lncRNA
GUAAAAUAAAAAACAAAGGGAGUGAAGAGAGUGAAAAAUAAUAAGACAAAAUAAUAUAACCCGAUGGAGUGAACAUUUCACGGUUAAAGGAAUCCUUCUCAUGAACUACAUUUGGUUUCUAUGGUCGUAUUCUGCUGUUAUUAAAACACCUUUUAUCACUUUUUCCUUCUUGAUUCCAGAUCGAGGGAAAUGCGUAAAAUGAGUCCAAAUGCAUUUUUGUCACAUCAUGGAUCUUAGCUGGAAUUUGCUGAAACCUGAACAACUUGGUGUUGUCCAACCCCCAUGUCUUUGUAUAAACAAAGUGCGGGCUGUGGGCGAGCAGGCCAGGGAGGAACCACAAGACGCGCUGCGUAGCUGACAUUCCCAGGAUUCCCUGCAGCAGGUCGAGCCUCUGACGGAGGCUGCUGAUGGUCGACACGCUUCAUUUGGGCCCACGGGUACGCAAGGCCAAGAGUCAGCUUCGCAAUAAAACCUAA